rnacentral:rRNA from 1 species
GGAGUCUAACAUGUGCGCGAGUCGUUGGGUCUCGAAACCUAAAGGCGGAAUCAAAGUGAAAGGUAAUUCGCUUACUUGAGGGAGGAUGGGAGUCGUUCCCGCGGGGCCUCCCCGCACUCCCGGGGCGUUUCUUACUCAUAGCGAGUCGGAGCGCACCCAGAGCGUACACGUUAGGACCCGAAAGAUGGUGAACUAUGCCCGGCCAGGACGAAGCCAGGGGAAACCCUGGUGGAGGUCCGUAGCGAUUCUGACGUGCAAAUCGAUCGUCGGAGCUGGGUAUAGGGGCGAAAGACUAAUCGAACCAUCUAGUAGCUGGUUCCUUCCGAAGUUUCCCUCAGGAUAGCUGGUGCCCAGGUGAGACGAGUCUCAUCCUGUAAAGCGAAUGAUUAGAGGCAUUGGGGGUCGAAACGACCUCAACCUAUUCUCAAACUUUAAAUAGAUGAGAACUCCGGCUUGCUUGAAAGUGAAGCCGGAGAUUCGGAUCAGGGUGCCCAGUGGGCCAAUUUUG